AGGGCUUGAUGAAGGAGGUCUUGAUUUGUCUUUGCAGCCCGGCGAGCCGGGACUCUUCCUCUCCGGCGAGCUCCUGCCUUGCUCCGGGGAGUGCCGCGGGUGCCGGACCCUGCCCGCCGUGGAGCUGCCCUCCGGCAGCGGCGAGGAGCACGGCGAGGGCCCGCAGGCGACCGGCGGGGGCGGCGGGGGGGGAGGCGGCGGCGGCAGCUGGUGCGGCCGCGGGGGGCUGCCCCGGGCCCCGCCGCCGCCGCGCGUGGGGCUGCCGCCUCCUCCCGGCGUCUGCGCGGCCGUGGCGGGGCCGGCCCGCCCGCCGGUGGGCGUCGCGCGCGUGGGGCUGAUGCUGCGCGAGGCGGCCGCCGCGCGCGCGAGACCCCCGCCCGGGGCGCUGGCGCCGCUCCUCGUGGGGCUGCCAUGUUGCUGCUGCUGCUUGAGCUGGAAGGGCACCGUGGCCCGCAUGGGCUGGAGACGGCCGCUCGCUCCCGCUCCGCCGCCCGCCGCCGCCGCGCCCCCUCCUCCGGGGGAGGCGGCGGGGGUCGGGGAGCCGCCGCGCCGCACGCGCUGGUGGGACAUCGUCCGCUGGGGCCGGCGGCGGGAAGCCGAGAGAAGGGCGCGGAGCGCGGGCGGGUCCCGGCGGGGAUCGCGACGCCUCGGACAGCUCCCGCGCCGCUCUCCCCUCACGCCCGGUCCGGAGCUCCGCACGCUGCCCGCCGCGCCGCCGUGCG
rnacentral:lncRNA from 1 species